CUGGUGCAUGACUUUGAUCUUGUAUAAGUCUUUGCCAAUCUGUAAUGUGUGGUAGAGUUCUACAGUCCGAUUCCACAAACAAAUUAAGCUCUGGUCUCUGUACGUAAUUGAGUAAUUGACAUCUCCAUGAAAGAGAGCCUUACACUCUCAAUUAAGUCUAAGUUGGAAUGAUCACGUCAAGAAACUCCAUUAAUUAAAAGUAUAUAGACUUUGGUACUGUGAAUCUGGAAUGCGCAAGUCUUUUCUGAUCUCUCUCCAUGGGAACAACUGGGAUUAGGAGCCUGUCCCUGCAGUGUGCUUGGGUUUCAAUUGUAGCCUUUUUGGUUCUUGGCUCAUCUGGUCAUAAAGAUGAUGCCAAGUGUGUCCCUUCUUCUUGCGGCGACAUCCACGACAUCAGCUACCCUUACCGACUGCAACAAGAUCCAGAGCACUGUGGCGUCUACACUUUGGAAUGUGACCACAACAUCACAGUGCUGCGCCUAUUUUCUCAAGAGUACUACGUCAAGGCCAUUGACUACGACAACAGCACAAUCCGAGUGGUAGAUCCUGGCCUCGACAAGAACAACUGCUCUUCCCUUCCUCGUUUUCCUUUGGGCGCAUCGAAUUUCAGUGAUUUAGCUACAUACGAUACAUACGAUUCAUACUGGCAACUAGGAUAUACAGUGGAGUCAGUAAUUUUCUUGAAAUGUGAAAAUCCAGUGAAUUCUUCUCGGUAUGUGAGCACGGCUCCCUGUAUUAACUCCGAAAUGUAUGGUUAUGCCGUUCCAGGCAGUAUCUCCGCCGAAGAUGUGGAGAAUGGGUGCACUGUAUAUUGGAUGGGUCUGACCACUGGGAUGCCCUCCGAGGAGGACCGAAACGUUUCCUAUCAAGAUAUACACGAUCAAAUGGUGUACGGCUUCGAGCUAUGGUCAAUCGCUGGAUUUUGCCGCGGUCAACGGAUUUACUAUAUUUUUUUUUCGGUCAAGUAUGUUAUCCGCGCAGCAUACGAGGUUUCUUUCUACUUGGUUGGAGGUUUUUCUUCGCUCAUUUGUUUCUCGAGAUUACUAUCGUUGGCAGUGUUGUAGUGGGAAAACUUAUAUUUGGAGGUCCAUUUGUGAUCGCAAUUCUGAUACAUAAGUGGCGAAGAAGGCAUUGGUCAACCUACCGCACAAUAGAAGACUUUCUGCAUUCUGACAAUUUCAUGCCUAUAAGGUACUCCUACUCCAACAUUAAGAAAAUGUCAGCUGGAUUCAAAGAUAAGUUGGGGCAAGGGGGGUUUGGGUCUGUGUUUAAAUGCAAAUUACGGAGUGGCCAUUUUGGAGCCAUUAAGUUGUUAAGCAAGUCUAAUGCUAAUGGGGAAGAUUUCAUGAGUGAAGUAGCUACUAUUGGAAGGAUUCACCAUGUCAAUGUGGUGCAGCUUGUUGGUUACUGUGUCGAGGGUUCAAAGCGUGCCUUAGUAUAUGAUUUCAUGCCAAAUGGUUCUCUUGAUAGAUACAUUUACUCCAAAGAAGAAUCCAUCACAUUAAGUUACAAGAAAAUGUAUGAGAUUGCAGUUGGAGUCGCUCAAGGUAUUGAAUAUUUGCAUCAAGGUUGUGAAAUGCAAAUUCUGCAUUUUGAUAUCAAGCCUCAUAAUAUCCUACUUGAUGAGAAUUUUGUCCCAAAGAUUUCUGACUUUGGACUAGCGAAACUAUAUCCAGCAAACAAUAGCAUUGUCUCAUCAAUGGCAGCAAGAGGCACCAUGGGAUACAUUGCUCCCGAGUUGUUUUAUAAAAACAUUGGUGGCGUUUCGUACAAAGCUGAUGUUUAUAGUUUUGGAAUGUUGUUGAUGGAAAUGGCAAGCAGAAGGAAAAAUCUAAAUGCAUAUGUAGAUCACUCGAGCCAAAUUUACUUCCCCUCAUGGGUGCAUGAUCAAUAUAUUGAGGGGAAGGACUUGGAGAUUGGGGAUGCUACAGCAGAGGAGAAGAAAUUAAUUAGAAAAAUGAUAGUAGCUGCCUUGUGGUGUAUUCAAAUGAAACCAAGUGAUCGACCUUCAAUGAAGAGAGUUACACAGAUGCUAGCAGGAGAUGUUGAGAACCUAGAAAUGCCACCAAAGCCUUCUCUAUGCCCACAACCGACGCCUGUAAGCAAUCUGAUUCCAACAUGUUCAAAUGUGGAGCUAACAUGUACUCUUUCUGCUAGGUGA